rnacentral:rRNA from 1 species
UUGUUGUUUACACAAAUUCUCCUAUCUUUAGGGGAUUCUGUGUAAAUAAUAAGCUGAGUGGCGAAUGGGUGAGUAAUAAAUACAAACGUACCACUGAGUGGAACAUAGCUAACCGAAAGGUUAGGUAAUUUUCCAUAGUAUCCGAUGCAAUAUUCGGAUUAAAGACGCAAGUCGCUGAGAGAGCGGUGUAUUCACUACCAGCUAGUUGGCGGGGUAAUAGCCCACCAAGGCGAUGACGGUUACCGGCUCUUAGCGGAGGGUCCGGCACAAUGGGACUGAGACAAGGCCCAUACUUCUACGGAAGGCAGCAGUUAGGAAUUUUGCACAAUGGACGAAAGUCUGAUGCAGCGACAUCGCGUGUGGGAUGAAGGCCUUCGGG